GAACGAGAAUGAGGGCUUCGGCUCUCUAGUAAAGUGGCGGACGGGUGCGUAACACGUGGGUAAUCAACCUUCCAGCGGGGGACAACCGUCCGAAAGGAUGGCUAAUACCGCGUACGUCGGUGAGGGCUCCGGUCCUUAUCGGGAAAGACGGCCUCUUCUUGAAAGCUGUCACUGGAAGACGAACCCGCGGCCCAUCAGCUAGUUGGUGAGGUAACGGCUCACCAAGGCUAAGACGGGUAGCUGGUCUGAGAGGAUGAUCAGCCACACUGGGACUGCGACACGGCCCAGACUCCUACGGGAGGCAGCAGUGGGGAAUAUUGGGCAAUGGGCGAAAGCCUGACCCAGCCACGCCGCGUGAGUGAUGAAGGCCUUCGGGUCGUAAAGCUCUGUGGGGGGGGACGAACACGCUUGGGGCUAAUCUCCCAAGCUCUGACGGUACCUCCUUAGCAAGCACCGGCUAACCCUGUGCCAGCAGCCGCGGUAAUACAGGGGGUGCAAACGUUGCUCGGAAUUAUUGGGCGUAAAGCGCGCGUAGGCGGCUACUUAAGUCGGAUGUGAAAGCCCUUGGCUCAACUGAGGAAGUGCACCCGAAACUGAGUAGCUGGAGUACGAAAGAGGGUCGCGGAAUUCCCGGUGUAGAGGUGAAAUUCGUAGAUAUCGGGAGGAACACCGGUGGCGAAGGCGGCGACCUGGGUCGAUACUGACGCUGAGGCGCGAAGCGUGGGGAGCAACAGGAUUAGAUACCCUGGUAGUCCACGCGUAAACGAUAAUGCUAAUGUUCUGGUAUGACCCGGAGCC
rnacentral:rRNA from 1 species